rnacentral:lncRNA from 1 species
UUAGGGAUGGACCCUUGGCAUAUGGAGGUUCCCAGUCUAGGGGCUGAAUCAGAGCUGUAACUGAGCCUACACCACAGCCACAGCAACGCCAGAUCUGAGCCACAUCUGCCUACACCACAGCUCACGGCAAUGCUGGAUCCUUAACCUACUGAGUGAGGCCAGGGAUCGAACCUGUGUCCUCAGGGAUACUAGUCAGUUUCGUUUCCACUGAGCCAGGAUGGGAACUCCCACAUUUGGGAUUUUAUUCAUGCAUUCAUCCAACAAGUGUUAAGGGUGAACAUGUUUUAAGCGCAAAAAGUUCAAGUUCAGAGAAGAUGGUAGCCUGGGAAAGACGAUAUGGAAGCAGAUGGACAGAUGUGGAUGAUUAAAAGCAUCAGUGAGUGGGUUUCUUUUAGAAAUUAAAUAUGGAGGAUGCGUUUCCAGCAUCAAUUAUUUCAGCUGCAGGAAAAAGAGAACCGGAGCAGAGGUGAUGGGAGAGGCUGAGCUGAGCGGGGCGGAGGAGCGUCCGCUUUGUGCAGUGGGUCCCAGCUCUCUAUCGGAUUCGAGUCUCUGUAGGAGAUUCCCCCGACUAUCACCUACACUCCUGUGACUUUAGGAAAAAAAUUCUGCCUCUGGGACAAAGGUCAGUGAGCUGACUUCCUUGAAGGUGCACUGCUGGUUGCAUUAGUGCCUGGAGGCAGCAAAGUAUAAUGGGUCAGAGCAGGGCUUCUUGCUGUGUGAUCUGGGGCAGGUGAGUUGACGUUUCUGUGCCUUUUUCCUCCUCUGUAAAAUGGCACCUGCCCCACUGGGCUGCAGUAAGGAGACAACAGAGCGAACAGGUAUAAAAUGCUUAGAACAGCCCUCUGAGACAUGGUGAUCGAGGCAUAAAAAUGUUGGCCAAUAUUGCAAAAUGAGUGGGUAACACCCCUCCCCCAGCCCCAGUUGGGAGGGACGGACCUUUGGGGGAAAGUCAUUACUGAAAGAACAGAGUUUUCUUUCAUGUGUUUUGAAAAUGGAAUCCUUCACAGAAGACAGCGCUUCUGCAGAGUAAAAAUGCCAGUGAAAAAGAGAAAAUGCUGACUUCUCCCAGCCUCUGGCACCCAGGAGGAGGGACUCUUCAAGCCAAAGGGACUUUUAGCUGAGUUAUAAAGCAAUAUUCCUGGUGAACGCUACCCUCUGUCCUUCUCCCUGGGAUUGUAAAACUCUGUAACAGAAUGUUCAAAGUCUCCUAGGUAUUUUACAAAAAUCACCAGAGAAAGACUGCCCCCGCAUCAUCAAUUUUUAACCAGUGCUCCCUGGGCAUAUUCUAAAUAAGGGCUAUCUAAAGAACACGUUGCUGGUUUGUUUUCUACUGGUGUUAGCAAGAAAAUCCAUUGUGUGAAUUACACCAUAUGAGUGACACAAAAAAAAACGCUAAGAUAGUUUUUAAAAAUAAUUUUUCCCUCGGUAACCAAAAAAAAAAAAAACCAUUGUAAACAAAUGUGAAAAAUAAAUACACAUACACAGAGAAAAAUAAAAAGUAC